rnacentral:rRNA from 1 species
CCCUUAGAUGUUCUGGGCCGCACGCGCGCUACACUGAUUCAUGCAACAAGUUUUGUCCUUGGCUGAUAGGCCUGGGUAAUCUUUGAACGUGAAUCGUGAUGGGGAUAGAUGAUUGCAAUUAUUCAUCUUCAACGAGGAAUUCCUAGUAAACGCAAGUCAUCAGCUUGCAUUGAUUACGUCCCUUCCCUUUGUACACACCGCCCGUCGCACCUACCGAUUGAAUGGUCCGGUGAAAUCUUCGGAUCUGAGAGAUGUCUGAUUAAUUUCGGACGCCUUUUGGAAAAGUUGCUUAAACCUUACCAUUUAGAGGAAGGUGAAGUCGUAACA